rnacentral:rRNA from 1 species
CAUUUUCUGCCACCGAAUACAUUAGCAUGGGAUAAUGGAAUAGGACCCUGUCCUCCUAUUUUCAGUUGGUUUUGGCAGCGCGAGGACUAGGGUAAUGAUUAAUAGGGAUAGUUGGGGGCAUUAAUAUUUAAUUGUCAGAGGUGAAAUUCUUGGAUUUAUGAAAGAUUAACUUCUGCGAAAGCAUCUGCCAAGGAUGUUUUCAUUAAUCAAGAACGAAAGUUAGGGGAUCGAAGACGAUCAGAUACCGUCGUAGUCUUAACCAUAAACGAUGCCGACCAGCGAUUAGGAGACGUUGAAUACAAAACACCACCAUCGGCGCGGUCGUCCUUGGCGUUCGUGUUCACGCACGAGCGCGAGGGCGGCUUAGCCCGAUGGCACCGGUGAAUGACUCCCUAG